AUCCAUCUGAUGAGUCCUAGACAGGACGAAACGCGUGGUCUUGAUUGCAU
rnacentral:hammerhead_ribozyme from 1 species